rnacentral:misc_RNA from 1 species
ACAAAUAUAAUUUUCAAUUUUUGAUUUCAUCAGUAUCUUGUGUAGUCAAAGUUCGUGGUGGAUGUUGCUUCGUAGUCAAGCCUGUCGUCCCGGAACGCUGCUCCAAGAUAGGUGGUACUUCUCCCCUCAUUCACGUCUUAUUUUGAUUCCGAGUACUAUGUGAAGAGCAUUCUGUUUGUUUCUCUGGCUUCAUCCUUGUUUUCUUCUUUAUUUUGACUUG